rnacentral:lncRNA from 1 species
AUGCUUGCAGAUACUUCAGAAAGAAUAUGUAUAAGCAGAAUGCUCACUAACAGCAUAAGCUUUUAAAGGAAACGGUGUACCAUAUUCUUUGCACUUGGCCUGCAGGGCAAAGGGUGGCAUCUCUUUUAGAACAAACAAACCCCUCUCUGUCAGCUUAAGCUUUUGAGUAGUUGGUUGUCCAAUAAUCUUGUUCUGCCUUAUACCUGGUGAGAUAGAUAAUGAUAUUCAACGAGUAACCCCUCUUUAGAUAUUUUGCAGAUCAAAUGUGUGGACCUAUUUGAAAAACAGUCUUGUUGAUGAAUUCAAUGAGUGUGCAGUCUCAUGAAAGAAGUGUGUACCUCAGAAGUCUGAUGUUGGGGAAUUCCGUCCCUGAUCCUGCCAUUCUUGUCAAGAACUUUAAUGUCAUCACUAGUGGCCUAAAUCCUACUUUUGAUGCUUUUGACUGCCAAUUGCAU